rnacentral:lncRNA from 1 species
AUGAGCAAGAAGAGCUGCCAGGGGCUGUUAUCACAGACAGGGUGGUACCCAGGAAAUCACAAGCUUGUGAAGCCCCUACCCACACUGCCUGCUGCUCAGAUAUUGCCCGUGACUGUUACAUGUGUCAGUUACCCCACGUCAUCAACUCGAACAAAAGUUUCGGGUUCCCAUUUCCAAAUAGAAAACAGUUCCCAGUUCGCACGUACAUUUUCUAGGAGAGGUAUGAAUAAUCUGGCAUCGUGUAAUUUAAAUAGAAGUGAAAUCCAGACANGAAAACCUAGUUCUACAAUAAUCUGUAACAAGAGCCUCUUUCUUUUUCUUCUUUUUAAAAUUGAAAUAUAGUUGAUUUAUAGGCUUCCCUAGUGGCUCAGCCGGUAAAGAAUCCGCCUGCAGUACAGGAGACACAGGAGAUGUGGGUUUGAUUCCUGGAUGGGGAAGAUCUCUGGGAGGAGGAAAUGGCAGCCCACUCCAGUAUUCUUGCCUGGGUAUUCUUGCCUGGGAAACCCCAUGGACUGUAGCCCGCCAGGCUCCUCUGUCCAUGGGGUCGCAAGAGUCACACAGGACUUGGUGAUGAAACAGCAACAAUAGCUGAUUUACAUCAAAUGUGUUAGUUUCAGGUAUACAGCAAAGUGAUUCAGUGACACACACACACAUGCACACCUACACAAAUGAAAUAUACUUUUCUCCAUAUUCUUUUCCAUUAUAAGUUAUCACAAGGUAUUGUAUACAGUUCCCUAUGCUACACAGUAGGUCCAUGUUUAUCUAUUUUACCUAUAGUCAUGUAUCUGUUAACUCCAAUCUCCUAAUUUUUCCCGCCCCUCCCCUCCAAUGCCCUUUCCCCUUUGCUAACCACAAGUUUGCUUUCUAAGUCUGUGAGUCUAUUUCUGUUUUGCAACAAGAGAUUGAACCCAACCUUCUCUCUACUCCUCAUUUCAGUGGCUAUCACUGUCGCAUGAGCUUCUGUAAUUUCCUAGUANNNNNNNNNNNNNNNNAAAGUCAGGGGAAAGAAGGUUUAGCCUCUGAGGUCAUUAGUUCUGUCAUCAUUAUUAAGCAAUUACCUAAACUCCUCAAGAGAUGAGAAAUUCUAUCUAACUGAACUUUUCUGGUCAUUUUAGGGUUAACAAUAAAAAACUCUUUCAACUCUUGCUAAUUUUUUUCUAAGUCAUACAGGUUCACACUUCAGUAAGUAAGAAUGGUGUCCAAACUAUAAUUUAGCCUCCCUCUGAUGAGUCAGACUCUGUUCUGCCUCGGGGUCAGCUCUACCAGUUGCACUGACUAAACUCUGGGAGGAGAAGAAGGUGAAGAGGGUUNNNNNNNNNNNNNNNNNNNNNNNNNNNNNNGGAGGUUUAUCUUUUCUCUCUAAAUAUAUCCCUCAUGCCUAACUAGUUUGUGUUUGUGAUGGGGAAGGAAGGUUUCUUUUAGAAACUUGAGUUUAGAAAGAAAACAGUCCAUUAAGGGCUUUGGAUAUCUAAAUUUUAUUUGACUACAGGUGGAUAUAUGCUUUAAAUAAGAGUUGAGUGCCCUGGGAAGUGUUCUUAAGUAUAUUUCAGCAUCUAAUUGCAAGCAGUGGCUACAGACAGGCAGAAGAAAAGCAAGUUUUUCUAGCAGACUCUUCAUCUAAACACUGACUAGGAUGGGAAGCUGAGUUAGCCACAGCUUUAUAGAGGUCACAGAUUAC